CUACGGGAGGCAGCAGUGGGGGAUAUUGCACAAUGGGGGAAACCCUGAUGCAGCAACGCCGCGUGAAGGAAGACGGAUUUCGGUCUGUAAACUUCUAUCAGCUGGGAAGAAAAUGACGGUACCAGACUAAGAAGCCCCGGCUAGACUACGUGCCAGCAGCCGCGGUAAUACGUAGGGGGCAAGCGUUAUCCGGAUUUACUGGGUGUAAAGGGUACGUAGGCGGUUAUUUAAGUCAGAUGUGAAAGCCCGGAGCUCAACUCCGGGACUGCAUUUGAAACUGGGUAACUAGAGUACAGGAGAGGAAAGCGGAAUUCCUAGUGUAGCGGUGAAAUGCGUAGAUAUUAGGAAGAACACCAGUGGCGAAGGCGGCUUUCUGGACUGUAACUGACGCUGAGGUACGAAAGCGUGGGGAGCGAACAGGAUUAGAUACCCCUGUAGUC
rnacentral:rRNA from 1 species